GACGAACGCUGGCGGCGCGCUUAACACAUGCAAGUCGAACGGAAAGGCCUGCUUUCCCUUGUGGAUUGCGGGUACUCGAGUGGCGAACGGGUGAGUAACACGUGAGUGAUCUGCCCCCAACUUGGGUAUAAGCCUGGGAAACUGGGUCUAAUUCCCGAUAGGACUGCAGGGUGGUGCCUGUGGUGGAAAACGAUUUUCUAGUGGUUGGGGAUGAGCUCGCGGCCUAUCAGCUUGUUGGUGGGGUAAUGGCCUACCAAGGCGGCGACGGGUAGCCGGCCUGGGAGGGUGGACGGGCACAGUGGGACUGCGAUACGGCCCAGACUCCUACGGGAGGCAGCAGUGGGGAAUAAUGCACAAUGGGCGGAAGCCUGAUGCAGCGACGCCGCGUGGGGGAUGACGGCCUUCGGGUUGUAAACUCCUUUCGACCGCGAGGAAGCCACCUGGUUGGAAGGGUGGUGACGGUAGUGGUAGAAGAAGCACCGGCUAACUACGUG
rnacentral:rRNA from 1 species